rfam:Triticum aestivum genome assembly, contig: Triticum_aestivum_CS42_TGACv1_scaffold_328405_4BS
CACAUACUCCCUCCGUCCCAAAAUUCUCGUCUUACACUUGUCUAAAUACGGAUGUAUCAAGUCACGUUUUAGUAUUAGGUACAUCUGUAUCUAGACAAAUCUAAGACAAGAAUUUUGGGACGGAGGGAGUACUUU